rnacentral:rRNA from 1 species
AGUGAACGCUGGCGGUAGGCCUAACACAUGCAAGUCGAACGGCAGCACAGUAAGAGCUUGCUCUUACGGGUGGCGAGUGGCGGACGGGUGAGGAAUACAUCGGAAUCUACUUUUUCGUGGGGGAUAACGUAGGGAAACUUACGCUAAUACCGCAUACGACCUACGGGUGAAAGCAGGGGAUCUUCGGACCUUGCGCGAUUGAAUGAGCCGAUGUCGGAUUAGCUAGUUGGCGGGGUAAAGGCCCACCAAGGCGACGAUCCGUAGCUGGUCUGAGAGGAUGAUCAGCCACACUGGAACUGAGACACGGUCCAGACUCCUACGGGAGGCAGAAGUGGGGAAUAUUGGACAAUGGGCGCAAGCCUGAGCCAGCCAUACCGCGUGGGUGAAGAAGGCCUUCGGGUUGUAAAGCCCUUUUGUUGGGAAAGAAAAGCAGCAGGUUAAGACCCCGCUGUUCUGACGGUACCCAAAGAAUAAGCACCGGCUAACUUCGU